rnacentral:tRNA from 1 species
GAAAUACUUUUAUUAGAA